AGUUGAAGCUUAUAAAUGGCAAAGAGGAGUUCUGGUCUGUGGUUUUCAAACCCUAUCAAAUCCUCAUUUCAUCACUCAUUAAUUUAAGUAUGAAGCUGCGGAUCAUAAAAGAAGGAAGAGAUGUGGGAUUUUUUCUUGAGGGUUUUGUUUGUUGCCCCUCUCCUUCAGAUCCGCAACUGAUGAUUCUGAACUCUAUUGAAAUCAAACAACCCUCCUCUCUCUCUCUGUCUAUCUCUCUGUCUAUCAAUGCUUCAAAAGAAAAGAAAAACAAAAAUCAAGGCAGUGAUGAUUCAAAAAGAAACAACCCUAUCCCUAUUUGGGGUUGUCAGACAAAGGUUCAAUCGAUCUAACUCUCCAUUAUAAAUCUUGGCGACGCAACUAGGAAGGUCAUUUUUGAAUCUCUUUUCAAUUUUGGCAACCAGUCUGCAGCCAAGAGGAGAGGAGAUUGAUACAUCCUUGCAUGUCUGAUUGAAGGCGAAUCUGAGCCUCCUUCAAUUUUUCUUUUGAACAUUUACUUGUUUUCAUCGUCUUUUUUGUUAUUCUUCAAUUCAGUUUUUGAUUUCAAAAACAUUUUUUUCUUUAAUUUGAAAAUGCUUGAAUCUGAGCCUCCUUCAAUUCAGUUAUCUGGGUUUUCUCAACUUCAAUUUGAUGAUUGAAUUUAAUUUUUUUUUUUUGGAACAUUUAUUUGGGUUUUCAAUCUAAUUUUUUUCAAUUCAGUUAUGGUUCCCAAAACAAUUUUUUUUUUAAUUGAAAAUGAAUGAACCAUCUUCAGGAUUUCAUUUUGCUGCUGGUGCAGGCAGCCAUCAUUUUGAGUUAUGGUCCAAUUACCUGUCAGUUGAAUUGAACAUUAGGAAAUUGCUCAGUGAUGAUCCAAAAAUUGGCGUGCCAUUGCCAACAGAAAACUUGCACUUUAGUCAUUAUGAAUUACAUCUCUCCUGCUACUCGUACUGGUGUUGAUUUAGAACUAUGUGGGCUGAGUUUGAAUGGGAAAGCAAGGUAUCAUUUAGAUUUUAGAGGGUGCAGUGGAUAAUGGUUGGAUCCAUACAGUCAUUUUUUCUGUAAUCCGUCUGCCUAUGAUUGUAAUUCCAAUCUAGUGGGCAAGGAACAUUCAUUGAGAACCUUGGAGCCUGCUAAGUUCCUGGACCAUAGGCAUUACUCGAAGAGUGCAUGAUCACAUCAUUGAAGAAGUCCAACCUUGCUUCUUCUCUUGGAGGGCAACAGUGCGACUCUCUCCAGAAAUUAAGAUUCAAAAACUUGGAUGGAUCAGCAGAAAAACGGCUAUGUAGAACUUGGAAUGGGUGACUAGUCUGAAUUCGGGAAACUCUGAUGCAGCUCUAAACUCUGAUGCAGCUCUGUUUGUAAUUCCUUCCAGUGGCAAAGAAAAUUAGCAGCAGGGACAUUCAUCGAGUACCUUGGACCCUGCUAAGGUAGUCCCUAAUUCCAUCAAAUUUGUUCUUCUGCAUAACCUAGUUUCUCAUCAAUAUAUUUCCAGUCAUCUUAUUUCUCUUUCAGAUCGCCUAAUUUGCAUUUUUCAUAUUAAUACCCAUAAUUCUCGUUAUUUCCAACAUCUAAUUUAUUUCAAUUGUAUCCAUAUCCUGCCAGACUCAGUAUCUCUUGCUCUGCUCUUGUAUGAUUCAUAAAAUUCUAUUGCUCCCUCUCAUGCAUGCUUGAUUGCUAUACUUCACUUUCCUUCUUUUCUCAUCAUAUGUUCUUCCUAUUUGCUUCUUCUAUUCUUGUGUAUGAUUAUAUUCUUAACCAAGUCUGACAGAAUGGGUCGUAGAUUCUCUGGGAGCGACUUUAAGGUUGUAUCAUGGAAUAUGCAGGGCCUUAGAUCUCAGUUAAAGCAAAAUCUCCUUAGACAUUUAAUGAAAACUUGUAAUCUAUAAAAAGAUUUGUGUUGUUAUUCCAUUAGGUGGAAAAUCCAGAGGUUUUGCUAUACCUCUUUGGUUAAUGAAAAUGUUUCCAUUUAA